AAUCCAUGGUAAGGACAAGCUCUUAAUAGUUCUUUGUAUCUUUCCCAAGCGUUGAAAAGGGAUUCACCACCCUGUUGAGUAAAUCUGGUUAUCUGGCUUCGUAGGAU